rnacentral:rRNA from 1 species
UACAGGGUCUGCAAGCGUUAUUCGGAUUCACUGGGCGUAAAGGGUGCGCAGGCGGCCAAGUGUGUCAGGUGUGAAAUCCCGGGGCUUAACUCCGGAACUGCGCCUGAAACUACUUGGCUAGAGCAUUGGAGAGGGAAGUGGAAUUCACGGUGUAGCAGUGAAAUGCGUAGAUAUCGUGAGGAACACCAGAGGCGAAGGCGACUUCCUGGACAAUUGCUGACGCUCAGGCACGAAAGCGUGGGGAGCAAACAGG